rnacentral:rRNA from 1 species
AGAUUGAACGCUGGCGGCGUGCCUAACACAUGCAAGUCGAGCGGUAACAGGUGUAGCAAUACAUGCUGACGAGCGGCGAACGGGUGAGUAAUGCUUUGGAAUCUUCCCAGUAGUGGGGAAUAACCAGUCGAAAGAUUGGCUAAUACCGCAUACGUCUGUAAAGGGAAGCGGGGGCUCGUAAGACCUCGCGCUAUUGGAUGAGCCAAAGUCGGAUUAGCUUGUUGGUGGGGUAAUGGCCUACCAAGGCGACAAUCCGUAGCUGGUCUGAGAGGACGACCAGCCACACCGGAACUGAGACACGGUCCGGACUCCUACGGGAGGCAGCAGUGGGGAAUAUUGGACAAUGGGGGAAACCCUGAUCCAGCGACGCCGCGUGUGUGAAGAAGGCCUGCGGUUGUAAAGCACUUUUAGUGGGGACAAAAAGCUACGGAUUAAUACUCUGUGGUCUUGAUUUAACCCAAAGAAAAGCACCGGCUAACUCUGCGCCAGCAGCCGCGGUAA